CGGUACGGCCUGUCACCGUAUUCAAAUUUCUGAUUGAAACUCAUUGAAACGGAGCUCAGCAUCAUCUGGAUCUUCGUCUUCCCACUCGUCUGGGUUUUUGGUUGCGUGUUCAUGUUAGUCUUCGUCUUCCUGCUCAUCUGAUCUGGCGAAUUGCUACCCACCUUGCUUCUGAGUCGUCCGAUUCAUCUGGGACCGUGGGUCUCCAUUUUUGUGGAGCAAGGCUUGUUUCGAUGUGGAGGAGAUGAAGGUCAUCUGGGCCGGUUCUCGCCACACCUUGGAGCUCUCCGAUUGUAUUUCUCGACUCGUCGCCAGCGAUCCGGUCAUUUUUUCUACUUCUAGUGUUUUUUUCUUUUUUCGCCCAAUUUGGCUCUGUAUCGCUAGAUGUUUUCGAGAUGUUCUCUUAGAGCUAUAGAGUUUAUUCCAAUAGAUAACUCUUCUUCACAAUGAGAAACCAUCGAGCAUGGACCACAAUCAGAUGGAACAGCAAAACCAUUUUUAAUGGGUUUUACAGAUUCAACAGUUGUUAAGCAUCCAACUUGUUCGUUUGACCAAAGAAAUGCAGAGCUGAAACACAGAGACAAACACACAGGAAGGAGGGAGAAUCGAAGAUUUGGGGAAAUGAGGUUGAAUAGAUGAAACGAUGCGUUUUUAUUUUUCAACAUCAGACGGCGUUUGUCCUGUGCUUGCACCAGGCGAUUGCAUACAACUUUUUUCUUUUAUAUAUAUAAAACUUUACUUGGGAGAGCUAGAAUAUGAAUUGUAUAAAGUGACUGACCUGGCAAGGCGAGUAUAAAACAAUUGUUUUGACAAAAUGUCGCAUUUCUCAAUGGAUGGUGACUCUUGAAUGUACUGUUUGUUUUGCCCCAAUA